GUGGAGUUACUUAAUGCAAGUAAGGAUGGCAGCAGCACAUCUCAGGGAUGGUCCCCAAACCGGUACAUGUGUUCACUUGUUGUCAAAACUCCAAUGUGAUGUAUUUUUUGAUUCUAAUCAAGUUAUGUGCAUAACACCUUCCAUCCCCAUGCCGGGGGCUACUGCCAGCCUACUUCCAUGUGGGCUGUGGGGCUGUGACCUCACAGAGCGAUCCCCACCUGCCGGACUAUGACCUCAUGGCUCUGCCCAUGUAAGCCAGCGGCCAGCACUUUGUCUCUCCCAGUGCGGUCGUGACCGGCUUUGAGCGAUGGUUGUCGACAGCGUUCUCCUUAUCCCCAGCCUCCUGCUCCUGGUGGCUGGGGUGUCUCUGCUCACCGCUUUCUGGCGCCGACAGGUAGGGAAAUUUGAGGAUGGGAGUCACUUGAGGCUAGGUGACUCAGGGCUUGGGGGUGGGGGGUUAGGGCUGCCCCACAAGCCCUGUCACUGUGCCACGUUCAUGUGCCCGUAGGGUUCUGACCGGCGCCGGCAAUGGUGGAGAUGGUGGCAGCAAGUGGUAUCACUGAAGUCAGGUGAGUCCCCUGAGGGUCAACCUGGCACAUUGCCGGGCAGGGCCAGCCCUCCAGGGGAAGCCAAGCUUCAUACCAGCCUCUGUCAUGUAGCAGCCAGGCCAGGUGGGCCUGGAAGAUCCCGCUGCCCCCUAACCUACUGUGGCUCAGGCCCACUCCCUGUUUUACAGGUGCUGAGAGGCAGGCAGGCAGGCGCGGGAGCCCCCUGUGCAGGCCAUGUUGCUCCCAGCAGCAAGCAUCACCAUGGCAGGGCAGUCCCAUCCUGCCCCAUGUCACCCAGCCAGGAAAGACCCAGCCUUUGUUGCAGCGUAACCUGUGCCCCUCUCUUCACACCAACUCUGCCACUGGUACCACGAGGCCUGCGGGGAAACCCGGCAGGCUUCCCGGACAGGACCAGCGCCCGCAGGUUCUGGUGGCACGUGGGACCCCCAGGAUGUUCGGUCAGCGUUCAAGGCUAGGCAGUGGAGUUCAGGACCUGCCUCCUGAGAUCCUCAGCUGCACAAAGCCACCGGUGAAAGGGAUGGUCUUUCAGGAGGGCCUUGUUCAAACAGAGGAGAGAAAACGCUGGUGGGAAUACAAGACCAAGAGGCCUAUUUGGCCUAUGCGCCCCCCAGCACUUCCCAGAGGGCACAAGAAAGCAGGAGCAGCAGCAAGACCAUCACGAGGACCAGCUUUGAGCCUGGAGAAAAAAGCAGACAGCCAAACUGAAACCUGCCAGCCCUUCAACUCUGGCUUCAGCGGCAGCAGAAGCACAGAGCAAUCGGACAGGCUCGCUAUGGAAAGGCUGUACCGGCAGCUCCUGGUGUCCCUAAAACGGCCCAAGACCAAGAACGAUUGCUAACAAGUCAGGCUGUGGAACUGAAGAACAUCCUCCCUGUAA
ensembl:lncRNA